UACAGAGGUCUCAAGCGUUGUUCGGAUUCAUUGGGCGUAAAGGGUGCGUAGGUGGCGCCGUAAGUCAGGUGUGAAAUCUCGGGGCUCAACCCCGAAACUGCACUUGAUACUGCGGUGCUCGAGUACUGGAGAGGAGAUUGGAAUUUACGGUGUAGCAGUGAAAUGCGUAGAUAUCGUAAGGAAGACCAGUGGCGAAGGCGAAUCUCUGGACA
rnacentral:rRNA from 1 species